UUUAAGAAGUGGAGCCGCAAGCGGGGCAGGCCGGCGUUCACGUGACCGGGCGCCGCCCGCUGGCUCGCGGAAGUCCUCCGCGUUAGGCGCCGGGACCCCCGGAUGCCCUGCGAGGCAGGCAGGCUCCGCUGGGCUGGCCCGCAGCCGGCCGCCGGGAUGGUGCAGCUGUACAACCUGCACCCGUUUGGGUCGCAGCAGGUGGUGCCCUGCAAGCUGGAGCCCGAGCGGUUCUGCGGCGGGGGGCGGGACGCGCUGUUCGUGGCGGCGGGCUGCAAGGUGGAGGCGUUCGCCGUGGCGGGCCAGGAGCUGUGCCAGCCGAGGUGCGCCUUCUCCACGCUGGGCCGGGUGCUGCACCUGGCCUACAGCGAGGCGGGAGACUAUUUGGUAGCAAUUGAAGAGAAAAACAAAGCUACGUUUCUGCGUGCUUACGUGAACUGGAGAAAUAAAAGGACUGAGAAUUCUCGAGUGUGUAUUCGAAUGGUUGGGCAUAAUGUGGAGACACCCUUCAGCGAAAACUUCAGAGACCAGAUGUCUAUUAUUGAAAUGCCACUUUCUGAGGCCCCCUUGUGCAUUUCCUGUUGCCCUGUGAAAGGAGAUCUUCUUGUUGGCUGCACAAAUAAGUUAGUCUUAUUUAAUUUGACGUAUCAGAUCAUCAACGAGGAAUUUUCAGUAUUGGACUUUGAACGUUCUUUAAUUAUACACAUAGAUAAUAUCACUCCUGUCGAAAUUUCUUUUUGUGUUGGUUAUGUUGGUGUCAUGUCAGAUUUAGAAGUCUUAAUCCUAAAACUGGAGUCAGACCCUAAAAAUGGAGAGAGAGUUAACCACCAUCCACGCAAUCCAAUGAAACAGACAGAAGAAGGUAUCAGUAAUGAAAUUUCACAGCUUGAGUCAGAUGAUUUUGUUAUCUGCCAAAAGCCCAUGGAACUUCUUGGUAAAAAAAGUGAACAGUCUGGAUUAUCUGUUACACUGGAAUCUACAGGAUUAGCUGAUGAAAAACUAAAGUAUUUCCAUAUCCAGCACCUACUGUAUAGACGUUUUACACCUGAUAUUUCAUCUUAUGACUUGUCUGAUGACAUCAGGCUACAUUCCCUCCAGCUGCUACCUAUUUACCAAACAGGUUCUUCUGAUGGAAAAAGUUUGUCUCAGGAAAAAGAGUUGCUGAGUCUCUUUUGUUUCUUCUCCUUACCUCAUGUGGGCUAUCUCUACAUGAUUGUCAAAUCCGUUGAAUUAAUGUCAGUCUACCACUAUCCGGAGAAGUCUCAGCAGGCGGUGCUCACCCCACAAUUUUUACACGUCAUUACAAGCAAUAACCUGCAGUGUUUCACGGUGCGGUGCAGUGCAGCGGCAGCUCGGGAGGAGGACCCGUACAUGGACACCACCCUGAAGGCUUGCCCACCUGUCAGUAUGGAUGUCUGUGCUUUAAGAAUACAGCUUUUCAUAGGCUUGAAAGCCAUCUGUCACUUUAAAAACCACAUUAUACUUUUGACUAAGGCAGACGCUGAGGCCAUUCCAGAGAGAAGAGAGUCACCCAGGAGGCUUCUGUCUAGAAAAAAUACCAGUGUUAAGAUCAAAAUACCUCCUAUAGCUGAGGCUGGGUGGAAUUUGUAUAUUGUGAAUACAGUCUCACCAGUGCAACUAUACAAAGAGAUGGUAGACUAUAGUAAUACCUACAAGACUGCCAGAACCCAGAGCUGCAUCCAUCUUCUCAGUGAGGCUCAUCUGCUGGUGAGAGCUGCCCUGAUGGAUGCCAGUCAGCUGGAACCCGGGGAGAAAGCAGAGCUGUUGGAAGCAUUUAAGGAAAGCUGUGGCCACCUUGGGGAGUGUUACAGCAGGCUUGACACCCAGCAUUCUCACCUCGCCUUGCCAUACUAUAAGAUGUCUGGUUUGUCUUUGGCCGAAGUUUUGGCCCGCGUGGACUGGACAGCAGAGGAUGCGUCACAGAAAUAUGAGAAGGGAUUAAUCUUUUAUAUUAAUCAUUCACUUUAUGAAAACCUGGAUGAAGAAUUAAGUGAAGAAUUAGCAGCAAAAGUGGUUCAGAUGUUUCAUGUGGCUGAGCCGAAGCAACUGCCCCAUAUUCUUUGUAGUCCUUCUAUGAAGAAUAUUAAUCCUUCAACUGCCAUGAGCUAUCUGAGGAAGCUGGAUGCUUCUGGGUUGUCAUCAAUCUUAUUGACAUUGUCUAAGGCAGCAAUGGCUCUGAAAAUGGGAGAUCUUGACAUGUACAGAAAUGAAAUGAAAAGCCAUCCAGAGAUGAAGUUGGUAUGUGGCUUCAUUCUGGAACCUCGACUUUUGGUUCGACAGAGGAAGGGACAGAUUGUUCCAACUGAGCUUGCAAUUCAUUUGAAGGAGACUCAGCCUGCAUUACUUGUGGCUUCAGUCCUGGGCUUGCAGAAGAACAGCAAAAUUGGAAUUGAAGAAGCAGAUUCGUUUUUUAAGGUGCUUUGUGGUAAGGAUGAAGAUAUGAUUCCUCAGCUCUUGGUAGACUUUUGGGAAGCUCAGCUAGUGGCAUGUCUCCCAGAUGUGGUACUUCAGGAACUCUUUUUUAAGCUCACAUCACAAUAUAUCUGGAGGUUAUCCAAGAGGCAGCUUCCUGACACCACACCGUUGCGAACAUCGGAAGAGCUGAUAAAUGCCUGUGGUCAUUAUGGCUUAAUCUAUCCAUGGGUUCACAUCUUAAUAUCAUCUGAUUUCUUAGCUUAUGAAAAUUACACAGAAGAUCUUUUAAAACUGCAGUCUCUUAUGUGUGGUCCUUCAUUUGACAUAGCUUCCAUUAUUCCGUUCUUGGAGCCACUCUCAGAAGACACUUUUGCUGGCCUCAGUGUCCAUGUUCUGUGUCGUACGCGCUUGAAAGAGUAUGAACAGUGCAUAGACAUACUGUUAGAGAGAUGCCCGGAGGCUGUCAUUCCGUAUGCUAAUCACGAACUGAAAGAAGAGAACCGGAUAGACUCUGUGGUGGAAAAAACUGCUGCCUGAACUUUGUCAGAGAAUAAAAUGUGGUGGAGAGAAAUAUCAACUUUACCUGUCAUCAUUAAAAGAAACAUUGUCAGUUGUUGCCGUGGAACUGGAACUAAAGGAUUUCUUGAAUGUUCUCCCAGAAGAUGGCACUGCAGCAUUUUUCUUGCCUUACCUUCUUUACUGCAGUCGAAAGAAAUCAUUGACUUGAAGGUAUCAUUUGAAAAACACCAUAAUGGCAUUAGAGACUGAAUUUCUGAAAGUUGAAUACCAGGUAAAAAUACAAGUAAAGGAUUUUUUGGUUUUUGUAUAUAUAUUUCAUAGAUAUGUAUAAAAUAUAUAAAUAAAUGCUUUUAGGCUGCUUACUUUACCAUAUAGUGGUAACUAUGACCUGAAUGCAUUUAAUUGUUCAGAAUGUAAAUAAAUCUUUAAGACAAGAAUGCCUUAAAGAAGCCAAGUAUUUUUAAAGGCAGGGGCUGACUUUUAUUCCAAGGAACAACAUCAAUUCACUGUUGUUGGAGACAAAUUUUGAUGUUAAUGUUUUGCCACAGUAAAAAAUUUUAAGCCUUUUGUUGUUGUUUUUCUUGUUACUUUAAGAAAACUCUAUGCUCUGUUUUUUACUUAAUUAAAAUGAAGUAGAAGUUUACAAAGCUGACUCUCUUCUUGUCUGGCUAUUAACAUGAUUUGUUUUGAAUCCAUGUUAUUUUCAACCAAAGCCUUAUUUCCAUAUUUUGUUGAUGUGUACUCUUGUUUUAGCUAAAGUGUAUGUGAAAAUAAAUAUUG